AGAAAUGAACUGGAGUCUUUGAAGGAGAAAAUGGCAAAGACAGGUGAAGAGAUGAAAAGUACACUGGAUGAAAGAGAAGAAAAUAUGAAUAAUUUAAAGAAGCAGGUGGAAAAUAAAACCAAAUGCAUUGAAGAGUUGCAGCAGGAGAAUAAGGUGCUGAAAAAGAAAAUUACUGCAGAAAGCAAGAAAAGCAAUACUUAUGAAGGGAAGGUAGGUUUAAAU